AGAGUUGCUUAUUUAUACGUUAGAUUACUGACCAAGAUGUAUUAAUCAACAUCUGAUUUCUCCAAUCGAGUAGCCUACCUUAAAUUAUACUGACUGUUGUGUGCAAAGUGUUUUGUCUUUUUCAGGGUAGACAUGUCUUUCUCAUUAGAGGAGCUUUGUGGUCAAUGUUAAGUACGAAAGAGUAGAUGAGGCAGAGGCAAGGGUCAGCAGUGAGGAAGAAGAUGCACUUGAAAGUGACCAGGUUGAUUCUCCUGCUGUUGUCCCGAAUUAAUCUGAAAAUGAAGGGAGUCAGAAGGAGGAGUUGAGGAGGACUCCUUAGGUGGUGAAGCUCAUCAGGGAAGGCAGAGGAAGAGGGGGAAUCCAGAGAUAGUUUACCAGCUGAGUGAGACAUAAACAGUCAAGAGACAAGAGGAAUCAAAACAGGAGGAAGACAUAACAGUGCGGCAGAAACCUUGAAGGAGAGCCACUUCUGCCCACGCCUGAAAGGAGCUUUAAUCAUGAGAGACAUCAGAGCCGAGUCUCCACCCCCCUCACCAACAACCACCAGUGAGGAUUCACAUUCUUCACCCCCCCGAACCCCGUCCAGGUCACCCUCCUCUAUAGUCACCCUUUCUCCUUCCUCCCCUCUCUUAGAAUUCACUGACCAGAUGAAAGAGCUGGGCACUGCUGGAACCAAACCUACCCCCUGCCCAUGCACUGCUCCUACUCUUUCUUUCUCUCCCUCCAGUAGGUGUCUCUCAAACUCUUUCAGAAAAAAAAUCAACACCUCACUAUCAUCUCCUUUUCUCUGUAGGAAUGUUAAUGUUGUCAGUAUGGAACAGACCGCUGCUACCAUAGCAUUGGACGCCUCUCGUCGCCAGCUCCCAUUGAAAAUGAAUGUCGCUUUUGUAGCUCAUGAAGCUUCUGGUGUGAGCGCACAGUUGGGCUGCUAGUGGUAUCCAGGGCAAAAUCUAAACAAGGAGAAGCGACUUUUAGUUAUUAUACAGCACAACUCUGGUCAAAAUUUAACUUUGAAUGUAACUUGUGUUAUGACUUAAAAAAAGCUUGUCAAUUCAGUAUAAGUUCCUGGUGCAAAAAGCGACAUUUUCCAAGUGAGACUCAGUGCUGUUUGUAAUGCAUUGCAAGACUACAUGACAGGA